rnacentral:lncRNA from 13 species
ACCCCAACGGGUCCUCUCCUUCCCCCGCCCCAGGCAGUAGGCCUUUUUGGUGGCAGCGUAGGGGUCAAGCAAGCCUGGAAAUCAAGGGCAUGGGGCCUGGAAAGGAGGAACCGGGAGUGUAAUGGGACUUACGAAGGAAGAAGAGAAAGAGAAUCACUUGGAUGGGAAAAGUUAACUGGAUUGUUCCCACCUGCAUGGAUCAUCCGGGAUGAAGCUGUGCCACCCGGUAGGCAUGAGAAGAUCAUGUCCCAGAAGUGAGCAUUGGGUGCAGGAUCCAGUCUUCUCAGGCACUGAGAUCCAUGGAGAGAAGUUGAAGCUCACACAGCUGUUUACAAUUAACACUCACAGUUUAGUCUCCACCCCUCCUUCUUGAAAUGGAAUUUUUAUCUCUUGAUUCAUGCUACAAGAUAAAAUCCCUGUUUAUCCAGUUGCAUGAAUAAUUGAUAAGCUCUUUCCAACUUGCCAGAAGCAACUUAGCCGUCUCGCCUUGCAGCCUGGAACCCCUGGCAAUUUCCGGAGCAUUGGCAAGAGACCUUUGCACAGUUUCUGCAUGGAGUCCACCGACUCUCUGUCUCAGAGGUGGGGGUUUAUCUCUUGAUUGUGACUCGUGUGUUACAGAUUAGGCACUGAAGUUUCCAGCACCAGGGAUGUAUGGGGCUGGGGGAGGGAGGGACAUGUCAGCGUCCUCUUAGAUUUUCUGAACUCACAAUUGUGACAGGUGCGGACCUAAAUUCCACUGGGAGUGCUCCCUCCCCCUCCCCCCCCCCCCCCCC